CAUGGCGCGGUGCAGGCGCAGGCGCAAUAGACAUUUCUUGAUUUCCUGUCUCUUCAGAAGGUAUAAAUGAGGAUGCCUUGAGCUCGCUCAGUCUUUUCGGAGAAGAGAUUUCGUUCUGUUCUGGAUCAGUUCGCAUUCACUCAAGAUUCCAAAUAACUUGGUUUGGGGAGAGAAGAGGAGCUUUAUGUAAAUUGUUGACAGUUGACAAUGCUUUUGCAUCCUUUAUUUGGCAAGGAGAGUUGGUAAAGUGAUAACCCUCUUGAAGGUAUAUAUAACUGCUCUUUAUUCAUCAAAGGGUAACAAUAGAAAUGUAAGUUCAGGCAUGGCUCCAGACCCCUAACAGCCGGAAGGGGUGGAAUGGUCCGUUGGCCAAGUGACGCUUUGGAAUUUAUCAUUGCAGAAGGCACUGAUCGUCAGCAGCUCUUUUAGGGUAGUAUAGUCCUUGAACCUGGGAGACCCAAGAGACCUUAUGAGAUGAAAGUGUCAUGAAACUAAGAUGUUACUUUGCCUUUUUCAUCAUUACCAAGUCAACUGGGUUUUCUAACUACCUAACAGAAAGCAGAAGCCCAUGAGAACCUGGGUAUCUUUUUUUAAAAUGUCAAUUUCUGAUGUAUUUAUGAAUUAAAAUAAAGAGCUGUAUACAUCUU